AUUGAACGCUGGCGGCAUGCCUUACACAUGCAAGUCGAACGGCAGCACGGGAGCAAUCCUGGUGGCGAGUGGCGAACGGGUGAGUAAAGUAUCGGAACGUGCCCAGUCGUGGGGGAUAACGUAGCGAAAGUUACGCUAAUACCGCAUACGAUCUAUGGAUGAAAGCGGGGGAUCGCAAGACCUCGCGCGAUUGGAGCGGCCGAUAUCAGAUUAGGUAGUUGGUGGGGUAAAGGCUCACCCAGCCGACGAGCUGUAGCUGGUCUGAGAGGACGACCGACCAAGCUGGGACGAAGACACGGCCCAGCCUCCUACGGGAGGCAGCAGUGGGGAAUUUUGGACAAUGGGCGAAAGCCGGAUCCAGCAAUGCCGCGUGCAGGAUGAAGGCCUUCGGGUUGUAAACUGCUUUUGUACGGAACGAAAAGGUUUGGCCUAAUAAGCUGAGCUCAUGACGGUACCGUAAGAAUAAGCACCGGCUAACUACGUGCCAGCCGCCGCAGUAA
rnacentral:rRNA from 1 species